AAAAAAAAACUUGAAAAAAGGUCCAGAUUUUACAAACUGAAAGUGUUUUGAGAGAUUAUAUUUUCAGAACUUGAGAGAGGGGGACUCGGGAAAAACACUGAAAAAGUCUUAAGCUUUGAAUAUAGUAUGAAAAAAAGAGAAAAAAAGAGAAAAAAAGUGUUCUUUUCAGCUAGGCCUAACGGUUCCCAUUUGAGUGAAUUCUAAUGUUUUUUUGAAUUAAUUUGGGUCAUCAGUCGAGUAGUGUGCUACUGUUGUUUUUGGCCAAAUCAUUUUGGUUCAAGUUAUUCCUAUCUGCUGGGUGUGAUUGCUUGUCACUGCUGGUGCUAUUUCCGGAAGGAAUUCAUUAAUCUAGGAUUUGGUGCUUUGCUGUUAUUGAUCUCUUUCACCUCAAUUCUUAUUUGCAAUUUCCAGGUACACAUUCGAACUUGAUUUGGUGUAGCUUUGAGGUGAAAAGAUGAAAAAAGUGUUCGUCUGUUUGCUUCUUGGAAUGUGUUUGUUUGAAACUCUUAUGUAGCAAUAGUUGAGUAGCUACUAAUUGAUAUGUAUUUUUUUAAGUUUAAUUUCGAUUUGUAUUUACAUAAUCCCUAGACUGUAUAAUUAGACUAAUCUGGACCGUCUGGACUUUUAUACUUAGAAUUGUUCAUCUAAUUCUCAAAAUUAAUAUGGUAUAGUGUAGUUCAAAUCCUUGUUUGUCUGGGGCUAUAAUGAAUUGAUAAUGUUAGCCUCCAUUUAGUUUGUUAUCUUCAUGUUAGCUCUAGUAUUCUGAAAUUAGUUAUAAGAUUGUGAAUCAUUAAAGUUAAUUAUGAGUAUUAUGCCCAGUAAUGUUAGCACGUGGAAUCAGAAAUUUAAUAGUAGCAUGUUAAUCAGAAAUAGUUAUGGUCUGGUAAAUAGGAGAGGUUGG
rnacentral:lncRNA from 1 species